AGCAAACAAAAAUCAUCAUCAUAACUUCAAACAGUCAUAUCUCAUUCAAUUUUGCACGAAAUCUCAUGGUUCAAAGCUCAGAAUACUCAGCAUAAAAAGAUCAACAACAAUAGCAUAAUAGAUUUCAAAAUUAGGAGAUUCGAUUCAUGACCUCUUGAAGAGCAGAAAUGGAAUUCGUGUGGUUUAAGGCUUUGUGAUGCUUUA
rnacentral:lncRNA from 1 species